GCAAACACCUGUAAUAAAUUAAAGAUCCUAUUUUUGUCUGGGUAGAUAGAGGUCAGAAUCCAGCUUCAGCCUCUGAAAAUGAUUGAUAUUGAGCCAAAGAGCAAAGAUUGCCAACCCGUGUAUGGCAAAUAUGCUUAUUAAUAAUGAAACAUAAUACUGAACUAAAAUAAUAUCCAUAACACGAAGCCUGGUCAGUCAAGAAACACUGAUUUUUUUGUGCCAUCAGCAGUGUUUCAGCCAAAGUAUGUAAGAGCAAAACAAAAAAGUGAAACGUGUCACAAAAUUGGGAUAUUCCUCACAUCAGUAAUAACCCCUCAGAAAUGAAGUAUCAAUAAAGGCUCAAAACUCAUAACUGUACACGAUGUAGAUGAUGCAUAUUAAUUGCAUCCUCUUUGAACUAGCAUCCUAGCAAGGGUGCUCCAAAAUAUUAUUAAGGGCACUGCAGCAUAUUGCAGAAUGUAUUGGCAAUGCCAAAAACAGAGGGAAAACAGUAACAGGGCAAAAACAUAAGACAGCUGCCAAACACUGAUUUUCUUUAAAGGUGGGAUAUGAAGAUACUGGGGCUUUUUAAGACUGAGGAAAAAAUGUUGAGUUUUUUUUUUUUUACAUGUCUGAGGAAGAUAAACGUAGUGGUUGAAAUGAAUUUAAUGUAUGCACAUUCUGUGCAUAAUUGUACUUGGGGGAACGCAUUUGACAAGAAACCAAUAGUAAUAUAUCAGUGUCUGUCUAGGAGCAUCUCAAUUGUUACCACGCAGCAACUCAUGAGAUGUUGGAUCUUUACAGUCACUGUCAACAGAGCUUUUAUUUCUGUCUUCCAAGAGCACGAGUCUCUGCCACUGGAAAUUCGAAGGAAAUGAAAAAAAAAACCAGCAUGAGCUGCAACACAUCAUAGGUAGCUCAGAAAAGAGUUUCAGUGUGGAACGUUCAGAACGUCGCACGUUUCUUUAUGAGAUCGAAGAACCCUCUGUUAUUGAAUCUCUAUUCUCCAGGCCAAAACCACCAAGCAUGAAUGGUAAAUGCUGUGCUCUUGGUCAUCUGACACUGCACUGAUGCAAUGCAGUCUAUCUCAGACACGACAGAAGGACAGAAGGGAAUAAAAGUGCACUGAAAUGCAAAGAGGAAUGGAGAAAAGUUUCCAGGCUCUAUCUCACUUCUCCUCCCUGAAACCCUUUCAUUGAAAUAUGUUGUGUAGCAUCAGUAAAAUAAAGUAAAAUUCUGGUCUUUUGCCAUGUUCAUAGAGCUGCCUUACAGAAUCUCUGCCGCUGUGUGACAGCCCCUGCUGCUGCCGUCUGCAGCCGGAGACAUCCUUUAGGAGGAAGUGGGAGUUUCUCUUAUGCAGGAGUGGCAGCACUGUGCUCUUAAAAUUGCUUGCCGUCUGGUGGCGAUAAAAGCACUGAGCUCUGUGGCUGAGUUCAAAGCUUUGCAUCAGUGGUUGGAGACAGCAGAAGGCAGGCUGCAGCCUGCAGCCACAGGGAGUCGUGCCCUGGAGAUGGGGACACAGCUCAUACCUCAUCGUCGUGGCCAGUGGGCAGUCAGCAGCUCAGCCUGGCCGCAUGGUCUCCAAAGCUGGGAAGGCAAACCGCAGCAAGCAGCUGGGCAAGCAGAAAAUACAACACAGCAAGGCUUCUUUUGACCUCCUUCUCACUCGCAUGCAAAGCUGCCUUUACCAGAAAAGUCCCUGGGACAGCGCUUCUUUGGCAGUAUUCUCUGAAUUCCUU
ensembl:lncRNA